GUGAGCAGGGCACGUUACCGGCAGCCCGCUACCAACCUGCUUGUAAAAACCGCAUCAAAGCGCGCUGCGGUUUAAAUACGCUUUCUAACAGUGUUUUCUCUCCUCUCCUGCCCGCGAUGAAAAUGUCUUUUGCAGAGUUCACAGAGGAAUGAAAGACUCCAGCAAAAAGAACAACAUUUUUGCUCAGUUCAGGAAGAAUGACCGUGACAAGCAGAAGCUAAUAGAGACUGUAGUAAAGCAACUUAGGAGUUUAGUGAAUGGUAUGUCCCAGCACACAUAGGCCUCUUAAAUCGACAGUAUCUCAUCACACCGAGGUGUUUCUUAGCCACUAUUUCUACUAAGCAAAUGGUGAUACCAGUUAGGACUUUUGUUUGACAGAGAAAAAGAAAAAUGCAGUAGAUGGAUUGUACAUGUAGUCUUCAACAAGCAAUUCUUUGUACGUAUUUUUAAUGGAUCGAAUACUAUUUUGUAUAUUGUAAACAAAUGGUGAAAAAUGAGGUUGUACAAUAAAAACCAGCGCAAUUGUAUUGUACAUGGAACAGCUGAACUGUAAAUAUGUUAUUUAAAUAGCUGCAGAUAUGGUGUUCAAAAUUUUGCUCAGAUUAGGAAUUAUUUGAGAAAUGAUCCCUUAGUUGCUGUUUUCUGGUUGAAUCCUAAUUUAAUGUUUUUAAGCAUUGAGAUACUUGUGUUUCAGAUGCCGCCUGUUGUUUUCCUGCAUUAAAUGUAUAUUAGCCUUAAAGUGAUUGGACAUAAUUUUGUAUACCAGGUUUUGUAGUCUGGAGGUAUGAAAAAGUCUUCUGAUUUUUAGUACCUUUGAAAACUACCUGAGAACUAGAUAUCUCUUUAGCAUAAGGACUUAGGCUUUGUUCUGCAAAAGGGUUUAAUCUCGAAGUUGUAAUGUAAAUAACCAUUUGAGUUCUUUAUAAUGUGACACGUUGUUGUUUCGUUUGGUUUUGUUCCUCAGGGUUACUAUUUCUAACUGUACUUCUGUAAGAUCUCGGGUUCUUUAUCCCAGGUUGCAGUAAGGAAUAGCUUUGCCGCUGUUGGUUUUGUGCCGCAUCUGUUUGUUAGUUUGCGCUUUCUCCUGCCAGCCCCAUCCCAGCGAUUAGCAUUUUGUCCCACUACCAGUCUUUGCACUGUCCCCUCCUGGCUGUUUUAGACACUAAGAGAAUGUCUAACAAAUACAAACCAAAUGGAACGUGUAAAAAUAAUGUACAUUUUCGCUGUAUUUUUAAGUUAUUGACGGUCCAAAUACAGUAAUAUAAACCUCA